rnacentral:lncRNA from 7 species
AAGAUUCUCAGUGAGAACAAUUGCUUCUGAGUGGUGAAGCCAUUGUGUGGUGCUGGGAAGAACUUUGGCAUUAAAAGCGAACCCAAAUUCCUCCCAGGGUAACCUGGGGAAGCUCAGAAACCCUCUGCUGCUUGCCUCCCAUCCUCAGGCUGCAAGCCUCAGCAGGUGAUAAGAAAGGCAUGAGAACAGGCUGGAAGGAGAAUGAACUACUGAGGGGCCCAAGCUGAAAGAAAUAAAGACUUCCAGUACAUCACCCUGACAGUAAAGAACCAAGAAAAAGUGUAGUCUGGCCUAUCUCAUUUCUCAGCCAUCACAACUUUUUGAAACCUGUCUGCAUGAUGGGCAGAGCCUUCCACGGGCCGUGUUUCUUCUCUUAAAAUCAUCAUGAUGUCAUUUGCCUGUGGAUGGAUGUCUCAUCUAUCUCACUUCUCUUUCCUGUUGACUUGCUCUAUCCUGAUCUGUUCUGACAGCUGUUGCUUACCAUUCAGCUUUCCAACGAUUGCCAGUGUGGAACUACAGAGGAGUACUCAAAGGAAGAGGCAAAUCCAGAGUACUCUUUACUGUAAACAUGCUUAUCUUGUCUCUGGUAAAGACCUGCCUGUGUCAUUCUCUUCUACCCUGAAAAAGGAAUGUAUUUUUUUGGAUUGUGAUAAUACAGUUUUCACUUUCUUUCAUCAAGUGUAGACACAUGUUGGAUGCUGUUUUGGGCUUAAGUUUUGUCUCUCUUUGCUCAAGGGAAGGAGCUGGCAAACCUUCUUUUGACUAUUGGGAAGGCAAACCUUCCCGCUUGUGGUAGAUUUACUGGUAAAGGUGUGAGAGAAGGCAGCUUCUGCUUCUUGAUGAUAAACAAUUUGUUUUAGCUGUCUGGAUCACCAUACUGCCUUAUCCAAGUACCUGGCUCAGUUUCCUGGAUCUCUUCUUGGCGUGUUGUUGACAAAUGGGUGGUCUAUCUUACUUGUAUACACCUUAACACCACGGAAAGGAUCCACAGCUAAACCAUAGAGUCAGUGAACUGUGCACAGAUGGAGAACUGAGAUGGUUUGUUGUUUUAGUGGAAGUUCCUGAGAAAGAUUGGCCACCCACUUAAUUGCAAUCCAAUGAUAUCCAAUCCUUGGUCAAAGCUAGCUUUGCAAAACUCAUUUUGCUCCUUGUUAUGAAUGGUUUAAUUAAAUUAAUGGAAGUUUUGUAU